rnacentral:lncRNA from 1 species
CGUACUAUAGAUUAUAUGGAGAAGAGUAGUGUUUGGGCUACAAAUUUGCCUUUUUCGUUCAAGUCUUUCAAUGAUCGUGAAAGUUUUUGACAGAAGAUGAAAGAAAUAAGGUGAGACAUUGCAAUUUAUUAGGUAAAAGCAAUCUAAAGACGUUCUAUUAGCAAAUACUGACCGUUUUUAAAAGUUGUAUAUUUGUAUAUUGAAUAAAAAUGUUUGGUAUAUUCUUGGGUAAAUUGGCACGGUACUCCUAUUUUAUCAGAUACUUAUGUUAGUUCAAAUCUUCAUAACAAUGUGCUUACAGUAAAAGCAUUGUUUCAUCCCAAUUUUCCGUAUUUAGCACAGUUGAGUAUUGUAUAGUGUCUGUUUCCAUAUCGGACAUAUUUUCACGUUAUUUUACCUGAUCUAGCUGGAUGUAUUUUCAUGUAUAUUUAUACAAAUACACAACUAUUACAAACACACAACUAAAAGAUUCCUUUUGUGUUUGAAACACAAAAGGAAUCUUUUAGUUGUGUGUUUGUAAUACUUUCUUUCACAAAUAACAUGUGUUGUCUUCUGUAAAAUAAGUAGUUUUUUGAAGUUUGAAAUUUUGUAUAAAACAAACUGAUAGACUAUAGUAUAGUAUACAAAUGUGCUGCAGGUGAUUCAGAAACAUUGCUAACUGUUUUUUAUUCAAUCAGGUAUCACCAUACUUUUUGUUGUUAUGUACUCUGGUGAAUGCAAACUAAAAAGUUUGCCUGACCAUGGUCAGGCAUGGUGGGAAUCGAACCCAUGACCUUUGGGUUAUCACUCCAAUGCUCUACCAACUGAGCUAUGAGGUCACCUAAGUAUAUAACACUAACACACACAAAAAGUAUCAUGUCUUAGAAUACAUUGAUAUCGAAGGAACCACACUCAGUUCCAAAAUAUCACCAACUCGAACUGACUUAACCUAGUAGUUCAGUUGGUUGAGCAUUGGACUGGUAUCCCAUUAAGGUCACCGGUUUGAUUCCCACCAUAGUCAGGCAAACUUUUUAGUUUGUCCCUGUGUGGAUGCACACGCAGAGUAACACCACAAACAUCAAGUUAUGACCAUGUUUACACUUUAUCCAUGCCUGACAAUCACUGACACAGGCAACACAUCAAUUUGCCCGAGUGUAUGGAAUGUGCAAUUCCUCUGCACACUGGACGGCAGUGAAUCUAGGCUCUAGGAAUAGACAAUCCCCAUUAUACAUUAAUUUUAAAACUAGGCAAGGAAACUCAAAUAAAUCAGCACAGCUAGAAAGAGCAUACUAAAAUUAGUAAAAUUACAAAGUUUGGUUGCAAAAUGUUGUAAAAAGAGGAAAAUAUAGCCUUGUAAAAUUCGCAAAUUUUGUAUACUUUUGUAUUGCUUGCGGAAAUUCCUACCACAUUUAGGCCGAACAUGUCGCACACAAUACAAAAGUAUACAAAAUUUGCAAACUUUGCAAGGCUAUAUUUUCCACAUUUUACAACAUUGUGCAAUCAAACUUUGUAAAUUUACUAAUUUUAGUAUGCUCUUUCUAGCUGUGGUGAUUUAUUUGCAUCUCCUUGCCUAGUUUUAAAAUUAGUCUAUAAUGGGAAUUGUCUAUUGUGUAUCGUUUUUGUGCCAAAAGAUUCGACAGUAAAAUAUAAGCUGUUGUGCACGCAAUAAUCACUGAUUUGUGCACAAAACUGGACAGCCUUUUCUUUCCAUGCUGGGCAAUUUGGGCCUCUAGCAUGACUAGGCCAAGCUGGCAAUGUGGCCCUUCUAUAACACAGUAUUGUCCAUGUCAUAAUUUUUGUUUCAUUUAGUUUAAUUUCUGCCUUCUGGACGUGCUCAAGCCUUGGCAACAAGUACUCAAGUUUCACUCUGUUGAAGACCAAUUUGUCAUUGAUUGGAUCAUAUUGUGUUGUCUUUGUAAUAUAAUAUAUGUAUGCCAG